GAUGAACGCUAGCUACCGGCUUAACACAUGCAAGUCGAGGGGCAGCAUGAACAAAGCUUGCUUUGUUUGAUGGCGACCGGCGCACGGGUGCGUAACACGUAUCCAAUCUGCCCGCGGCUCGGGGAUAGCCCAUCGAAAGAUGGAUUAAUACCCGAUGGCGUGGUCACUCCGCAUGGAGUUUCCACUAAAGGUUUUCCGGCCGCGGAUGAGGAUGCGUAUGAUUAGGUAGUAGGCGGGGUAACGGCCCACCUAGCCUUCGAUCAUUAGGGGUUCUGAGAGGAAGGUCCCCCACACUGGAACUGAGACACGGUCCUGACUCCUACGGGAGGCAGCAGUGAGGAAUAUUGGUCAAUGGGCGAGAGCCUGAACCAGCCAAGUAGCGUGAAGGAAGACUGCCCUAUGGGUUGUAAACUUCUUUUGUUCGGGAAUAAAGUGCAGUACGCGUACUGUUUUGUAUGUACCGUUCGAAUAAGCAUCGGCUAAUUCCGUGCCAGCCGCCGCCGUAAUAC
rnacentral:rRNA from 1 species